GAUGAGAACGUAGUGAAAUGCGAUAAGUAGUGUGAAUUGCAGAAUUCAGUGAAUCAUCGAAUCUUUGAACGCACAUUGCGCCCCUUGGUAUUCCAUGGGGCAUGCCUGUUCGAGCGUCAUUUGUACCUUCAAGCUUUGCUUGGUGUUGGGUGUUUGUCUCGCCUUUGCGUGUAGACUCGCCUUAAAAUAAUUGGCAGCCGGCGUAUUGAUUUCGGAGCGCAGUACAUCUCGCGCUUUGCACUCAUAACGACAGCGUCCAAAAGUACAUUUUACACUCUUGACCUCGGAUCAGGUAGGGAUACCCGCUGAACUUAAGCAUAUCAAUAAGCGGAGGA
rnacentral:misc_RNA from 1 species